CCUUCUUCCUCUUUUUUUUUUUUUUUCUUUUUCUGUUGUACUGGAGAUCAAUAAGCUACAUCGUUAGUCUUUUUAAAAAAUUUUAUCUUGAUACAAGGUCUUGCUAAGUCUCUAAGUUGCCUAGAAUAGGCUCAAAUUUAUGAUCCUUCUGCCUCAACCUCCUAGAGUGCUGGGAUUACAGGUGUGUGCCUCCACACCCUGCUUGAACUUGACUUCUUAAAGACUUCUGUCUAAUCGUUGCAUGCGUGACAAAAGUGACAAAAAAAAAGAGUUUUUGACAGUCUAUAAUAAUUGUCACUUUUCUGUAGGAAACUCAGCCAACCGAGCGCCAGGCCCGUGUGAAGAAAGAUUACUCCAACUUCAUGGCUUCUCUGAAUUUUGGCAGCUACUAUGCAAGAGAGAUCGUGACCCGCAGCUUCUCCAACCUGUGUGUUGGGGGGGCCUCUGGAUCUUCAACAAGCAUGGCAUGGAGACUGCCUUGGCCUGCUGGGAGUGGCUGCUGGUUGGUGAGAAUGGAGUGGAAAUGACAGUUGGCUCACAGUCUCUCAGUGAGGGCCUCAUACGAGAUAGAAGAGGCUGCCCUGGAAGGAUGCUGGCAAGCCUGUCACCCUCGCUAGCCUUGGUCUUCUCAUAGGUUGUGCUGUUCCUGCCUGACUAAACAAACAUGGAAAUGCAGAACUCAGCGUAUGUUAGAGUAGCGCUUGUAGAGGGGUAGUUUUCCAAACGCUCGGUAGGGGGAGCCAUUUCUCCACUGAAAUUAGAAGGCUGUCAGUUGAAGGCUGUUAAUACUGGCUCUAUGGGGUAUGUAUGCAUUUGUCAGUAAGGACAGGUGUUUCGGCCUCCAUACUUUGGGAUCAGCAAAUUUCCCCCGAAUCUAUAUUUUUGGAGUUGCUAUUGCACAGGACUUAUAGGCAAGGUUAUACAGGUUACGUAUGCCUCAUUCAAAAUGCUUAGAACCAGAGGGUUUUCAGACUCUGGAUUUUUUCAGAUUUUGGAGUAUUUGCAUAUAUAAUGACAUAUCUCAGACAGAACCCAGUUCUAGACACAAAAUUAAUUUAUGCUUCAUGUACCCCUUAUGCACAUAGGUUGGGGGUAAUUUUAUACAAUAUUUUUAGGCUACCUGUCUUUUUACUCUGACUGAUUACAUGACUUCCAGGUGUGGCUUUGUAUCAGUACUCAGAAUGUUUCAGGAUUUGGAGUUUUUCAAAUUUCAGAUUUUCAGAUUACGGUUGCCUGAACUGUACCCACCUUUCAGCAGAAGGGGAAUGUCUAAGAAUCUAAGAACGGUCAGGCUGGCAUAAUAUGAAGAGAAAUAGCUGGUAAACAUUGUUUCUGUUAUUUUUGCCGAGGUGAUAUUGGAGUCUGGCUUUCCGUUUUUGGGUAUAUUAGU
rnacentral:lncRNA from 1 species